rnacentral:lncRNA from 1 species
UUUUUGUUUGUUUUUUGUUUUGUAGAAUUUCCAGAUUAAAGAGAGUCCAAAUGCAAUAAACAUUUACACAGUUUUUUUUUUGGAAUAUAUGUGAAUUUUGGGAAGAAGAAUGAACGCCACACAAUGCCCGAGGCUUUCACAACGCUGGCCGCACCCAGGUGCCUUGUGGCCACCCCUUUAGUCUCUUGGGGCCCUAUUUUGCCACAAUAAAGAUAAAAUCCCCUCAAAAUUUCAGCCUGAUCGGAGUUACAAAUCUCCGAAUAUUUAAGAAACGGUGAAGGGCACAAAACAAAAGCAAAA